CGAAGUCAAUGUUCAAUCGAUCAAAAACUCUUCGAUCGAUCAAAAUGAUGUCUUUUGAAUUUUUGGAAAAUGCCUUGACUCUCCACCUUCCCACUCAAACCCUAAUUUUCUUUUAUUUUUCUUUUCUUUUAAUUUUUUUUCUUCUUCCUUAUUUUUCUUUUUCUCUUUAUUUUUUUUUUCUUUCUUUCUUUUCUUUCUUUCUCCCUUUCUCGGCAAACCCUCUCUUUCUCUCCAGAUUUCUCAAUCUCUCCCCUUCCUCUCAAUCUCAACCUUUCUCUCCUCCCUCAGUCUCCCACAACUGAACCACCACCACUUCUUCUUCUCUUCUUGCCGAUGAUUCCAAGGAGAGCCCAUUUAGCCGCCGUUGAUUCUGCAUUAUUUUUCCCGACAAAGAACUCUUAGCCAAAGGGUCGAGUUCUCUCAUCCAUUCUCUCUAUCUCCCUUGGAUUCACUCAUAUUCGUCAUUUCAGGCCGAUUUAGGCCAAGGAGGAGUCGGUCACCAUCUUCGGCGACCUCUGAAGAUUCCGGCGAAGCUCCGGCGAGCUUCGGGUCAUCUUAUCCGGCCACGAUGCAGCGCAGAUAAAAGACUCUUGCUAGAAAGCAAGUAAGCAAAGCUUUACAGCUUCUUUCUCAACCUCCAAUGGCCGAGUCUUCUUCGUUUUCAUCUUCAGCAGUCCAUUUAGAGCCAUCUUCUAUAGAGGUCACGCAUCCUAUUAUCCGAGAGGUCCUUACUGUUUCUUACUCUCGUAGGAAGUUAGAGCCCGAGUACAGAUUCGAUCGCGAUUUAUUUUCCCACUUGGACUAGACCAAGUGGUCCUAUGAUGAACUUGUUCGGAGGGGCAUUGACAAGCCCCUUUCUAAGUGUUUAGAAAAUGAACUAUGUAAUGCGAGAGGUCGCUUCGCAAGGUCAAAAUAUGAAUGUGGGUUAGAAAGUCUUUAUAAUCAAAUUUACAUUUAUAAAAACCACUACUAUAACUAAUGAAGCAUCGCGAGUAAGGAUCGUCCACAGAGAUUAUACGUGUUGGAAUUUAACUUCAACUCUAAUGUACCAAAUGAUUGCAAAGGAGGGUUGGUUGGUUGAUUACCCUAGAAAAUAAUUAAUUAAAAUGCAGUUAAAAUAAACUAAGUUGAGAUAGGGAUUUAAGAGAUGAGAAGUGAGGUCUUGGGGUCCUUUUGAAUUUCCACCAAGCUUGUUCACCAAACCACACACUUUCAACUAAUUUGGGGAAAACCUUCUUGUGAAUAAAAUGUAACUACUAAUUGCAAUAUUAAGCAUGGACCAUCAAAUUCAUGUAUGAAUUGUCUACUUAACCGACAAAUAAACUGAGUGUAGCACAACCUAUCAAUUCUAAGCAUAACCCAUCAAACUAGUCACAAUUGUAGCACACAUCAAUAUAGAAAAUCAUGGAAUUUGCAAUAAUAAGCCAUGGAAUAUCAAAUCAAGUAAAGAUUGUCUACCUACCUAUAAGCAUGAAUUAAAUUGUUGAACAACCCGUCAAGCAUAAUCCAUCAAAUUAAUUGACAAACCCAUCUAAUAAAAAUCAUAUCUAGACAUCACUAGAUUCUCAAUUAACCACACAUAAACAUUCAAUUAAUAUAGAAAAACUAGUGUAGAGAACAAUUCCCAAAUAAUCACACAUAAGACAACAUGUAAUCACAUAGAGAAUUAAUAGAAAGAAUUAAUCCAUAAAAAUUAAAAGAGAACCCAAGAUUCAUUAAAUUGACAAGGCUAAAACACUAAUCACAAGAUAUUAUUCCCCAAAAAGUAUAAAAGAUAUAGCGGUUUAGAUUACAAACUUAGGGCUCAUCUAAGUCCCAAGGAGAAGUCUAGCCAAUCAUAGAGGAGGUGGGCGUGAUCUUGGAACCCUCAAGGGCAAUCCCCAAACUUGGUUCCAUCUUCUUCCUCUUCUUCUUUGUUGAAUUCUAAAGAGAGAGAGUGUAUAGAUCUUGAGAUGUGUUCUUGGUGCCUCCACUCUUCCUCCUUUCUUCUAACCUUAAUAUCUAACUUUUCUAGAGAGAAAAAAUAAAAUUACAAUAAAAUAAAAUUAAAGACAAAUGAUGUUUUACAAAAUGGUUAAAUUCCCUUUAAAUACAAGGUCCUUGGAGUAGUGAACAAGUCAGAAAAUAAGCCCUUAAAAUAUCUAAUCCUACAGCUAUGGGGUAAGUGCAGUUCGGGCCCGCGGGAAUAAAACAGCUCGCUGCCAGCAUAUUUUUGAUUGAUCGAAGAUUUCUUCAAUGAAUCGAAAAAUUCUCGAUCCAUCCAAAAAUUCUGCAUUUUUACCUUUUUCUUGGAUUUCUCUGGAAUCUUUUCUAAACUUUUGCUUGACUCUAAAAAGGCUGUAAUAGACCAUUUUUGGCCCGUUUGAACCUUAUUGACCUAUAAUAGACAAAAACACAAAUAAGUACUAAAACAAAAAAAAUAAAGAUAGAUGAAUGGACUAAAAUACCCUCGCUUAGGUGUUAAAAUGCGUCACAUUUGAGCACUCAUCGCCAUCAUGACACCGGCAGACACAGUAGUCUAUCCCUGGUUAGUUGUAUUGUUCUACCAGCACCUUCAGAUGGAUAAGGAUGAUAGACUACUAUUACAUACCACUAUAGACGGCCAAAAGAUUGACAUUUCUCUCCCGGCCAUAGUUGCUGCUUGCUGAUGCCCCCAUUCAUCUCCAUUGGCUGUUGAUUCUCAGGAUCCUUUAUAUCCUAGUGCUCCACCUUAUCCCUCUGAGCUAACCAUGGUAGUUACUUUAUCUCCAUAUGCUGCCUAUGAAGGUAACACAUUUGCAAACAGGGUUGAUAUUGAUCCCCAGUAUUGGUUUAUUGAUUCGAUGUUGCACCUCAAUGCCUUUCCAUCAGGCCAUGGUACUCAGAGGAGAGAGGGAAUUUUUCAGGCCCUAUACUAUUUGAGCCAGGGCUAUUGGAUUUCUAUUCAUGCGCUUAUCUGGGAGCUCAUCCAUAAGUUCUGGAAGAAUCUGCAUCAUACGGACAAUUCUAGAGCUGUAGCUUGGCCUUUACCUUAUGGCCACCUGAUUACUCAGCUGCUCCUUGACCAAGGUUAUCAGUUUGACCCAGAUGAGAUUCCAGAGACUAAUUCAGAGAGAGAUAGUAGGGCCUAUGACCAGGCCAGGUGGACAAAGACCUACAAUUCUUGCCUCAAGAACAGAAAGAACAAAGAUAUGAAAAGACAACAUGAGCAGCAGCGAACGCAGCCACAAAGGAUGCAGCUGUAAAGGAUACAACACAUAGAUCUCUUCCCAGAUAGAGGUGUCGCAUUACCACUUCAGGUUCUACCUCGCAACCAGAUGUACCUACUACAUAUCAGUAGGCUGGCCCUUCUCAUGUCCCUCCCACAGAUCCAAUAGCUCAAACCGACACUCGAUCCCACCAUUCCAGUACUGAUUCUAGCUACAAAUCUGAGGUUGCUUAGCUACACACAGACUUUAUUUCCUUCAGAGCUGAUAUGACCGGGUGACACGAGGAUAUCACGAGGCGGCAUGAUGAUCUGGUGAGGAGACAUGAUGACUCAGUGGGGAGGCACGAUGAUUUAAUUAGGCGUUUUGAUGACUUAAGGGUAGGUGUAGCCGAGGUGAGGUGUGAGCUUGGAGCAUUACGGACUGACCUUACGACUUCUCUCACUCGCCACAACCAUAAGAUGUCCGAUAUGCUGCAACACAUUGCUGAUAUGAUGACUCCGGAUCAUAUCCCUUGAUUCCACCAUUUUCUCUCUCUAUUACUCAUUAUCUGCGCUGCCAUGCUAAUACACUGUUACUUUGGGAUAUUUUUGACUAUUCUGCUGCACUCACAUUGAUACAUUGGUUAUUAUUUUUGCAUAGUAUUGGAUAUAUAUUUGGUUUUGGAUUUAUUUGUUAUAUAUGGAUUUUUGAGAUUUUGUUAUCAGUUUUGGAUAUUCUAAGCUUGACAUUGCUAGAUGCCAUGAUUUUUGCCCAGUUCUCAAUUUCACCUCUCAUUUAUAUCAUUGAUGCAUAUGCUUUGACAGUUGCUAGUGUGACCAUUUUCAGACAGGUUUUCAGAAUCUAAGUUUGAGGGUGCGUCUUCCAAAGAUAAGCAUUCGUUGCUGGGUCCUUUUUGCUACACCAAUUUGGUCAAUAAAGUUCAAACAGGCUAAUAAGAGUUAUUUAGCUCAAUUUUGAAGCUAAGGAGCAAAUCUGAAAAAAAGUCAAGAAAAUUGCAUCAGUGGAUUUUCGAUCAAUCGAAGGAAGUCCCGAUCGAUCGAAGAAGGCUACAAUCAAUCGAAAUCAAGGCGGUGCCAGCUCAGCAAUUUGGAUAAGGCCAAGAAGAUAUUUUCAUGACACGUUAUCUUCGAUCGAUCAAAACAAGUGUUUGAUCGAUUGAAAUUCCCUUCAAUCGAUCGAAAUGACUGCUGGUAAUGUGUUGUCUAAUUCUCGAGCACGUCCAGACUUUACCUACUUUUGUAGCUGCGAAUUUCCACCAAUUAUAGGCAUUAUUUUUGACUUAUUGCCUACUCAAAGAGGCUUGUAAUAGAUUAAUAGAUACAAUUCUGAAAGAGAGUUCCUCUAGAAUUAAUUUUUACCAAUUUUAGAAAUAGUUUCCUCUCUAGAACUAGGGUUUGUGAAGAAAGCAAGAAGGAAGAAGAUGAUGCCAACCUCUAAGUUAACCCUUGAGGGUUCCAUGGCCACUACAAUGAGUGGCUAAAUCCUUAUUUUGGAGCUAGAGAUCACUCCUAAGUUUGCUUCCUAGACCUAACCUUUUGUAUAUUUUUGGGGAUUUUAGUUGUAAUUGAUGUUUUGACCAUAAAUGAAUAUAGAU